AUUGAACGCUGGCGGCAUGCUUUACACAUGCAAGUCGAACGGCAGCGCGGGCUUCGGCCUGGCGGCGAGUGGCGAACGGGUGAGUAAUACAUCGGAACGUGCCCAGUAGUGGGGGAUAGCUCGGCGAAAGCCGGAUUAAUACCGCAUACGACCUGAGGGUGGAAGCGGGGGAUCUUCGGACCUCGCGCUAUUGGAGCGGCCGAGGGCAGAUUAGCUAGUUGGUGGGGUAAAGGCCUACCAAGGCGACGAUCUGUAGCUGGUCUGAGAGGACGACCAGCCACACUGGGACUGAGACACGGCCCAGACUCCUACGGGAGGCAGCAGUGGGGAAUUUUGGACAAUGGGCGAAAGCCUGAUCCAGCAAUGCCGCGUGUGUGAUGAAGGCCUUCGGGUUGUAAAGCACUUUUGGCGGGAACGAAAAGGACUGUGCCAAUACCACGGUUCGAUGACGGUACCCGCAGAAUAAGCACCGGCUAACUACGU
rnacentral:rRNA from 1 species